AUUACCGAGUUUUCAACUCCCAAACCCCUGUGAACAUACCAUACUGUUGCCUCGGCGGUGCCUGUUCCGACAGCCCGCCAGAGGACCCCAAACCCAAAUUUCUUUGAGACGUAUUCUGAGUAACCGAUUAAAUAAAUCAAAACUUUCAACAACGGAUCUCUUGGUUCUGGCAUCGAUGAAGAACGCAGCGAAAUGCGAUAAGUAAUGUGAAUUGCAGAAUUCAGUGAAUCAUCGAAUCUUUGAACGCACAUUGCGCCCGCUAGUAUUCUGGCGGGCAUGCCUGUUCGAGCGUCAUUUCAACCCUCAAGCCCCCGGGCUUGGUGUUGGGGAUCGGCGAGCCUCUGCGCCCGCCGUCCCCUAAAUUUAGUGGCGGUCACGUUGUAACUUCCUCUGCGUAGUAGCACACUUAGCACUGGGAAUCAGCGAGGCCACGCCGUAAAACACCCAACUUUAGAAUGUUUGACCUCGAAUCAGGUAGGACUACCCGCUGAACUUAAGCAUAUCAAUAAG
rnacentral:rRNA from 1 species